rnacentral:rRNA from 1 species
UACGUAGGGGGCAAGCGUUGUCCGGAUUUAUUGGGCGUAAAGAGCGUGUAGGCGGCCAGACAGGUCUGCUGUGAAAACUCGAGGCUCAACCUCGAGACGCCGAUGGAAACCAUCUGACUAGAGUCCGGAAGAGGAGAGUGGAAUUCCUGGUGUAGCGGUGAAAUGCGCAGAUAUCAGGAGGAACACCGGUGGCGAAGGCGGGUCUCUGGGCCGAUACUGACGCUGAGGAGCGAAAGCGUGGGGAGCGAACAGG